GCCUUCUAGGUCUGGUAAUUGGAAUGAGUACAAUCUAAAUCCCUUAACGAGUAACCAUUGGAGGGCAAGUCUGGUGCCAGCAGCCGCGGUAAUUCCAGCUCCAAUAGCGUAUAUUUAAGUUGUUGCAGUUAAAAAGCUCGUAGUUGGAUUUCGGGUGGGUGCUAGCGGUCCGGCUCUGCUGUGUACUGCUAGUGCCUACCUUUCUGUCGGGGACGGGCUCUUGGACUUAACUGUCCGGGACUCGGAGUCGACGAGGUUA
rnacentral:rRNA from 1 species